rnacentral:rRNA from 1 species
UACGAAGGGGGCUAGCGUUGCUCGGAAUCACUGGGCGUAAAGGGUGCGUAGGCGGGUCUUUAAGUCAGGGGUGAAAUCCUGGAGCUCAACUCCAGAACUGCCUUUGAUACUGAGGAUCUUGAGUUCGGGAGAGGUGAGUGGAACUGCGAGUGUAGAGGUGAAAUUCGUAGAUAUUCGGAAGAACACCAGUAGCGAAGGCGGCACUCUGGGCCGGUACUGACGCUGAGGAGCGAAAGCGUGGGGAGCAAACAGGG